GACUCCUUAGCAGGAAGCUACUCAGGGCGGACUGACUCAAGAGCAUUGUUUCCUGGAACUCCUGAGUCCAAGAGCUGGGGGAAUGCUGGAAACAAGGAGAAGGAAGGCAGAGAAUGCUUGUGGAGGCAGCAAGGAAUAAAUAGAUGCAAGAAUAUUGGAAGGUGUCAUAAGAGGGAUAAGGAACCAAUCGCACCUCUGUCUCGCCCCAUCCCCUCUCCAGGCUUGGGAGCAGAUCCACACCACUACAGCUAUGAUUUGGAAGGAGCACAGCCAUCACUGAUGUCACAACAGUCCCCGCAAUUCCACAGCACAGUGUUGAUUUCAUUGCACCACAGUGUAGCUCUAGGAGUGAGUAAAAGCUCCCUGAGGCCUCCCAGAAGCUGAGAAAAUGCUGAUACGAUACUUCCUGUACAGCCUGCAGAACUGGUGACCAGCCACCUCUGCAGGCAUGAGCAGGCUGGGAUGUGAGCAGAUUUGAUUCCAGCCCCCACCAGGCUUCCGGGAGAAGUUCCCAUGGAGGCAGACAGACAUCAGACGGAGGCCCCGUCGCCGGUGUUUCCUUGGUUGCUCAGGCCC
ensembl:lncRNA LINC02651 long intergenic non-protein coding RNA 2651